AGUGGAUAACUCCGGGAAACCGGAGCUAAUACCGGAUAGUUCCUUGUAACCGCAUGGUUCAAGGAUGAAAGACGGUUUCGGCUGUCACUUACAGAUGGACCCGCGGCGCAUUAUCUAGUUGGUGAGGUAACGGCUCACCAAGGCGACGAUGCGUAGCCGACCUGAGAGGGUGAUCGGCCACACUGGGACUGAGACACGGCCCAGACUCCUACGGGAGGCAGCAGUAGGGAAUCUUCCGCAAUGGACGAAAGUCUGACGGAGCAACGCCGCGUGAGUGAUGAAGGUUUUCGGAUCGUAAAGCUCUGUUGUUAGGGAAGAACAAGUGCAAGAGUAACAUGCUUGCACCUUGACGGUACCUAACCAGCAAAGCCAGCGGCUAACUACGUGCCAGCAGCCGCGGUAAUACGUAGGUGGCAAGCGUUGUCCGGAAUUAUUGGGCGUAAAGGGCUCGCAGGCGGUUUCUUAAGUCUGAUGUGAAAGCCCCCGGCUCAACCGGGGAGGGUCAUUGGAAACUGGGAAACAUUGAGUGCAGAAGAGGAGAGUGGAAUUCCACGUGUAGCGGUGAAAUGCGUAGAGAUGUGGAGGAACACCAGUGGCGAAGGCGACUCUCUGGUCUGUAACUGACGCUGAGGAGCGAAAGCGUGGGGAGCGAACAGGAUUAUAUACCCUGGUAGUCCACGCCGUAAACGAUGAGUGCUAAGUGUUAGGGGGGUUCCGCCCCUUAUUGCUGCAGCUAACGCAUUAAGCACUCCGCCUGGGGAGUACGGUCGCAGACUGAAACUCAAAGGAAUUGACGGGGGCCC
rnacentral:rRNA from 1 species